UCCCUUGUCAUCUAGUCUGGUUAGGAUACAUGGUUUUCACCCAGGCGACCCGGUUUCAAAUCCCGACAAUGGAA
rfam:Picea glauca, whole genome shotgun sequence.